UACGUAGGGGGCAAGCGUUGUCCGGAUUUAUUGGGCGUAAAGAGCGUGUAGGCGGUCAGGUAGGUCCGUUGUGAAAACUCGAGGCUCAACCUCGAGACGUCGGUUGAAACCGUACGGCUAGAGUCCGGAAGAGGAGAGUGGAAUUCCCGGUGUAGCGGUGAAAUGCGCAGAUAUCGGGAAGAACACCCGUGGCGAAGGCGGCUCUCUGGGACGGUACUGACGCUGAGACGCGAAAAGCGUGGGGAGCGAACAGG
rnacentral:rRNA from 1 species